UGAGUAAUGCCUAGGAAUCUGCCUGGUAGUGGGGGACAACGUUUCGAAAGGAACGCUAAUACCGCAUACGUCCUACGGGAGAAAGCAGGGGACCUUCGGGCCUUGCGCUAUCAAAUGAGCCUAGGUCGGAUUAGCUAGUUGGUGAGGUAAUGGCUCACCAAGGCGACGAUCCGUAACUGGUCUGAGAGGAUGAUCAGUCACACUGGAACUGAGACACGGUCCAGACUCCUACGGGAGGCAGCAGUGGGGAAUAUUGGACAAUGGGCGAAAGCCUGAUCCAGCCAUGCCGCGUGUGUGAAGAAGGUCUUCGGAUUGUAAAGCACUUUAAGUUGGGAGGAAGGGCAGUAAGUUAAUACCUUGCUGUUUUGACGUUACCGACAGAAUAAGCACCGGCUAACUCUGUGCCAGCAGCCGCGGUAAUACAGAGGGUGCAAGCGUUAAUCGGAAUUACUGGGCGUAAAGCGCGCGUAGGUGGUUUGUUAAGUUGGAUGUGAAAGCCCCGGG
rnacentral:rRNA from 1 species